GACGUAGGAUGCAAGCGUUGUCCGGAUUCAUUGGGCGUAAAGAGUUCGUAGGCGGUCUGUUAAGUCUGAUGUUAAAGAUCGGGGCCCAACCCUGGGAGUGCAUUGGAUACUGGCAGGCUGGAGUGCAGUAGAGGCGAGUGGAAUUCCCAGUGUAGCGGUGAAAUGCGUAGAUAUUGGGAAGAACACCGGUGGCGCAGGCGACUCGCUGGGCUGUAACUGACGCUGAGGAACGAAAGCUAGGGGAGCAAAUGGG
rnacentral:rRNA from 1 species